UACGUAGGGUGCAAGCGUUGUCCGGAAUUAUUGGGCGUAAAGAGCUCGUAGGUGGCCUGUCGCGUCGGCUGUGAAAACUCGGGGCUCAACUCCGAGCUUGCAGUCGAUACGGGCAGGCUAGAGUUCGGCAGGGGAGACUGGAAUUCCUGGUGUAGCGGUGAAAUGCGCAGAUAUCUGGAGGAACACCGGUGGCGAAGGCGGGUCUCUGGGCCGAUACUGACGCUGAGGAGCGAAAGCGUGGGGAGCGAACAGG
rnacentral:rRNA from 1 species